CCUAGCAGAGAAGUGGGAGUUUUAAAUGAGUUAGCGGAUAGCCAGCAGAAGAGUAACAUCUCUCUUUCAACAUGGAACAGCUUUUUGUUUGUACAUCAAUUUCGUGCAGCGAACUCAGAAUUAUAUCAGCUCUCGACUUACAUUAGAUAUAAGAUUUAGUGAAAAAUCUGCUGCUGCUGCCACUAUCUAUUCUUGAGUAAAAUCCCAUCUAUUAAAGGAAUAUUUGCAAAUUCUGUCUGAACAAGCAGAAUGGGUUAACUUCUAAUCUGAAUUACUACUAGUACCCACCCUGGUACUACAGGCUAGCCACUCUUUAAUUACAGCCAACUACCAAUAUACUACAAGCUGCCCCAAUUUUCCAUUUGUAGAAUUUCAUACACUGCAAUUAUCAUAACAGCCAGCCUAUUUUUUUACCAUUACUGGUUGCAUGCCACAAAGAACAAGUUGAGAGUUCAUGCUGACAUCAUACAGAACAACUUUAUAGAAGUCAUUGUAUAAAUCAUGCAAAUUGGAUUUAAAAGCUUUCAAAUUUAUUAUUUUAAAAAUAUUACAAAUUUGAAACUUUGAAAAGCAAGAACUAAUUCAAGGAUUAUAUUUCAUGAAAUAAAGGGACAAACAGGCAUUAAACCUCAAAAAAUA
rnacentral:lncRNA from 1 species